CCUACGUGAUGCUGCAGUGGGGAAUAUUGGACAAUGGGCGAAAGCCUGAUCCAGCCAUGCCGCGUGUGUGAAGAAGGCCUUCGGGUUGUAAAGCACUUUCAGUGGGGAAGAAAGCCUUGGGGCUAAUACCCUCGAGGAAGGACAUCACCCACAGAAGAAGCACCGACUAACUCCGUGCCAGCAGCCGCGGUAAUACGGAGGGUGCGAGCGUUAAUCGGAAUUACUGGGCGUAAAGCGCGCGUAGGCGGUCUGAUAAGCCGGUUGUGAAAGCCCCGGGCUCAACCUGGGAACGGCAUCCGGAACUGUCAGGCUAGAGUGCAGGAGAGGAAGGUAGAAUUCCCGGUGUAGCGGUGAAAUGCGUAGAGAUCGGGAGGAAUACCAGUGGCGAAGGCGGCCUUCUGGACUGACACUGACGCUGAGGUGCGAAAGCGUGGGUAGCAAACAGGAUUAGAUACCCCAGUAGUC
rnacentral:rRNA from 1 species